GACACCAUAAUCUGAAUUGGGCUCAAGUCAUAUUGGACAUAUCCAUAAAAUUACGCUAGCAUAUAUUUUCUUUUUUCGAGUUGAAACAAUGCCUAGCAUCAAACCGUACAAGUAAAGAAGAGGAUGCCUUAAUGGACCGAGUGUUUCUUGUCUGCGACAAGGGUGGACAGCUUCUCAAAUUUAAGAUUUCGAGAUGCUUUAUCAACAUUGCUGUACAUGUUCAUUUGAGUAAGCAGGACAGGAUAUAAAAACAUGGGAUAUUGACCCCUUGUUUGGAACCACAAACACAGGGCAAAGGAACAAGGUAGAAGAGGAGGGGUCCUCACGUGCCCUCUUCCUAAUUCAGAAAAGAACCGAACUCCAAAGUAGCAAAGAGGUGAUGGAGGUUGGAGGUGCAUUACUAAAAUAAGUUUCUGUCCAAAUAAAUGUCCAUUUUGCUUUGGUACUCUUUCUGAAACUUUCAUCGCACUUUUACCCUUGUCAUUGAAAUUCUCCAUCAUGUCUUUUUACCUUACAUACCUUGCAAAAGCAAGAUUCUACCUCUCAUUUGCUUUUAUGCUAUACCCUUUUCAUCAUUUUGUCAUCUCAAAUAAUGCCAAACUAUGAUGCCAACCGUAAGCUCUCUCUCUCCCCCUCUGCUUUUUAAUACGAUCUUUGUGUUUGAUUUGGGAAUUCAGAUUAUACCCAUUUUCAAUUGCAUUUGAACAAAUUAGUGUAAUUUUUGGUUUGGGUUUUUCCUUUCCUAGCUCCCUUAAGUGUAUGAUUUUUAGGUGUCUAUUUCACCUAAUCCCCACCAAAGUGAUCCAUUUUUAUGGCACGAUGAAGAAAAUGAAACCCAUAAUAAGGUGAUUUGUCAUCAUUUUAUGGCCUUAGUCAAUUGAUGAUAAAAGGGCAGUUUUCUUCUAGAUAGAAAAAAAGGAUCAAGUUGGGUUACGAUGAAGAGGUGGGACAAACACAAGACACUUUACAAGUGGAUGCAAUGAAAGACUUGGCCAUUGCCCGUUUACCAAAUCUCUUGAUAUGGGAUUUGGUGAACGUCCACUUUGAAGUUGAAUAGAAUGAUAUUCAACCUCGUCACGUGUUAUUGUGUUUCACUGUCUGCCAUUUUUCUUCACCAUUCAUUUAGGAGGAAACCACCUCACCAACACCUUCAAAAGAGCCCCUCUUUCUUAGCAAAACAAUUCAAUGUGGUAUACCAUUUCAUUUCCACUUUCUUUGUUUGCACAAAUCCGUCAUGGGAACUUUGAUUUUUCAAAGAUAUUCAACGAUCUUCUUUUGUUUUAUUUACCCUUUUAUUUUUUCCGCAAUGUAAUUAAGCAAAAUAUGCACAUGCAGAGAUGGCAUUGAAUUAUACAUAUACAUUGAUCACUCCACUCUUUGAAAGAGUAGGGUGUCAAUGUGAUAAUUGAUAGUUUCAUGAUCACAAUAUGCAGUGUAGUAAAAACUCUUAGCAACUGUGAGAAAUGUCUGCUUAAUAUCCGAGUCGAUGUCAUCUGAAGACUGUUGGAGCACUAUCUGCACAAGUUCUUGCAUAUCGGACUCUAUUUGGAGGCUUGCGAUGCCAACACUGUCAGCAUUGUCAUUUACCUGAAAAAAAAAAAAAAAAAAAAAAUCCAAGAUUAAUCAAGAAAUUUUAUGCCCCAAGGAAAUUAAAAACUAGAAUUGGAUUUUUUUCUUGAUGAGUCUGACAUUACUGACCUUUUGGUUUUGGAAAUGAGCAAGUUUAUGGCAAAUUGUGUUGGUGAGGUGGGAGAGUCUCAAGUAUUGAGGAUGAGACAAGAGCUCCUCCGAGAUCCAACGGCCAGAAGUUAAAUUAAUUGUUUGUAUAAUUAACUCUGCUUCUCCUU